AGAAUCAACGCUGGCGGCGUGCCUAACACAUGCAAGUCGAACGAGAAAGUGGAGCAAUCCAUGAGUACAGUGGCGUACGGGUGAGUAACACGUGACUAACCUACCCUCGAGUGGGGAAUAACCUCGGGAAACCGGGGCUAAUACCGCAUAACACUUACGAGUCAAAGCAGCAAUGCGCUUGGAGAGGAGUUCGCGGCCGAUUAGUUAGUUGGCGGGGUAAUGGCCCACCAAGACGAUGAUCGGUA
rnacentral:rRNA from 1 species